GUGACUUUCCUAUAGUCAAGACUAAGACCUCGGGUCUCCUGUCCUAGGUUCCACCCUAAAUGCAGGAUACUGGAUCCUUCAGCUUCACCCAGUCAGGAGAGAAGUCCCCUUUUUCUGAUGUGAUACCUAAAAUUCUCUGACCCUGGGCUCUUUCACCCAUAUCUACAAUUUCCCAAAGAUGAGAUUUAUCCAGAAUGCUGUGUCUAAGCUACAGGAGAUUUUCGCCCCUCCCCCACCUCGUUUCUGACUUCUCCCAGGUCGGUCCCAUGGACCUUGGUGGAAUCCCCAGGGAAGAAUGCAAAACGCCUGAGCUUUCCAACUUCUCCUCAGACCCUCCACAUGUGACCCAUCACUCCAGAUCUCAAGGUGGUGUCACACUCAGGUGCUGUGCCCUGGGAUUCUACGCUGCUGACAUCACCCUGACCUGAAAGAAUGAGGAGGAACAGAUACAGGACAUGGUGGAGACAAGACCUGCAGGGAUGAAAGCUUCCAGAAGUGGGCAGCUGUGGUGGUACCUUUUGGAAAGAAGCAGAAAUACACAUGCCAUGUUGAGCAUGAAGGUCUGCCUGAGCCCCUCACGCUGGGGGAGUGGGUUCAAAGCUCCCAUCAGGGAAAGCUCCUAGACCCUCUCCAGACAACCAUCACCAUCGUGACCAUUGUCUGUGCUGUCCUUGGAGCUGUGGUGAUCUUUGGUUUUUAUCAUUGGAGUUGUUAUGAUGUGGAUGAGGAAGAACACAGGUGGAGAAGGAGGCUAUGCUCCUGCUGCAGAUCAGUAUGUGAGGGGUGAAUUGUCCAUGAGGAACUUGGGAGGAAGCUCUUCUGAGAGUUUCUCCUCCAGCCCCACCUGUCAGUCUCCUGACUGUGUCUGGUCAUUUCUUCUGCAGGCAGGGACAGUGCCUAGACCUCCGACUUGUCUCUGGAGGCUUGAAAAGCUGCCUCAUGGGACUGAGUGUCCAGUUCUGACUUAAAAACCAAUGAAUUCUCUUUGGACACCAAUGUCUGAGUUAUUCCUGUGCACACAAUGAGAAAAACUGGGGAGCUAAUCCAGCCUAGUCCUUUAGACCAGGACCCUGUCCCUGCUCUACCCCUGCUCCCUUCCACACCCAACCUUCCUGGUCCAGCAGACAGGAGGGACAGCUCCAUCCUCUCACCUUCAUGCUGCCCUGAGCUCCAGCCCUUGACUUCCCACUGAAAAUAAUAACCUGAAUGUGAACUUUAUUGUUAAUGUCCUUGACCUGAGAGACUGGCAGAUCAAAUUAAAGGAGAGAAUUCUGAAAGUGUGAUGGAGACAAUGAAUGGCAGCUUAGAGAACAUUCUAGAAUAUGUGUUUUCUGUGCUGAGUAUCAGAGGAACAGGAGGAGUCUGUGGGAGCUGAGUGAGGAUGGGGCUGUGCCAGGGGAGCUCAGUCCAUGUGUGAAUUGCUGUGGUCAGUCCUCAGCUAUGUCCUCCUGGGCUCUUGUCCUUGUCACUUAGCAUAACCACGUGCUGACAGACUCUGGUCACAGGACACAGGGGUGUCCCCAGC